AAGGAUCAUUAAAAGUAAUAUAUAUUCAUUCGAAUAUACGUUUCAAACCCCUUGUCUAAACUACCUGUUGCUUCCGAUCGUUUUGGCUGUACAGUUAGCUGUAUAGCCUGGUCGGAAGGUUAACAUAAAAUAUUGUAUUUAGAGUCUUCUGAAUUUAAAAAUAAAAGUUAAAACUUUCAACAACGGAUCUCUUGGUUCUC
rnacentral:misc_RNA from 1 species